rnacentral:rRNA from 1 species
AAAGAGAAUCGAUUCCGUCAGUAGUGGCGAGCGAAAGCGGAGGAGCCCAAAUGGGGAGGAAUUGCGCGAUUCGGAGGGGAACGGCCUGGGAGGGCCGGCCACAGAGGGCGACAGCCCCGUACCCCGAGAAGGACGCAUGUCUCCCCGAGAGAGUACGCCGGGUCACGAGAAACCCCGGCGGAAGACGGCGGGACCACCCGCCAAGGCUAAACACAGACCAGUGACCGAUAGCGAACAAGUACCGUGAGGGAAAGGUGAAAAGAACCCCGGGAGGGGGAUGAAAAGAUCCUGAAACCGCAUGCCGGCGACCGGACCGAGGGCGUCGAAGCCUGAGGUCGUGCCUAUUGAAGAAUGAGCCUGCGAGUUGUCGAUGCCAGCGAGGCUAAGCGGAAGACGCGGAGCCGCAGGGAAACCGAGCCCGAACAGGGCGCGAGUUGGCACCGGCAGACCCGAAACCCGGCGAUCUAGCCAUGGCCAGGAUGAAAGAGGGGCGAAACCCUCCGGAGGUCCGAACCGACGUUCGUUGAAAAGACCGCGGAUGAGCCGUGGCUCGUGGUGAAAUUCCAAUCGAGCCGGGUUAUAGCUGGUUCUCCCCGAAAUAGCUCUUGGGCUAGCCUCGGGGCUGUGCGCCGACGGAGGUAGAGCCACCGAUGGGGCGAGGGGCGCGUCGAACGCCUUCGAGCCCCGCCGAACUCCGAAUGCCGCCGGCGAAGCCCCGGGAGUCGGUCUGCGGGAGAUAAGUUCCGUGGACGAGAGGGAAAGAGCCCGGACCGCCGAUUAAGGCCCCAAAGUGCGCGCCGAGUGCUGAGAAGGAGGUGGGGCGGCUCAAACAGCCAGGAUGUUGGCUCAGAGGCAGCCAUCAUUCAAAGAAUGCGUAACAGCUCACUGGUCAAGCCGCCCCGCGCCGACAAUUUACCGGGGCUAAAGCGCGCCGCCGAAAUCGCGGGAUCCGUAGGAUCGGUAGGGGAGCGUCGCCUGUGCGGCGAAGCGGGACCGCGAGGGCCCGUGGAGCGCAGGCGAGCGAGAAUGCAGGCGUUAGUAGCGACGGGGGGUGGGAAUCCCCCCAGCCGGAUGGCCGAGGUCUCCCGGGCGAGGUUCGUCCUCCCGGGGUCAGCCGGGGCCUAAGACGAGACCGAGAGGCGCAGUCGAUGGGAAUGCGGCGAAGAUUCCGCAGCCCGUCCGCGUGGCGAUGACCGUGACGGGGGUGGCAAGGCAGCCCGGGCGAUCGGAAGAGCCCGGCGGCCGGCGCGCAGGGGCGGGGGAGCCAAAGCUCUUCCCCGGAUGCCCCAGGGCCGGACGGGAGGAAAGCGGGAGACCGCGAGUACGAAGGCGCCGGGGACACCCUCCAGGAAAAGCGGCUAGCGUCAGAGCGCGGGCGGCCCGUACCAAGAACGGACACACGUGGCCUGGGCGAGAAGCCCGAGGCUAGCGAGACAACUGUUGCUAAGGAACUCUGCAAGACUGCUUCGCAAGCUAGCGAGAAGAAGCGCCCGGGGGCGAACAGCCCCGCGGGCCGCAGCGAAGAGGCAGGGGUGACUGUUUACCAAAAACACAGCUCUGUGCGAAGCCGCAAGGCGACGUAUACGGGGUGAUGCCUGCCCGGUGCUGGAAGGUUAAGGGGAGGGGUCAGGCCGCAAGGCCGAAGCCCCGAGCCGAAGCCCCAGUGAACGGCGGCCGUAACAAUAACGGUCCUAAGGUAGCGAAAUUCCUUGUCGGGUAAGUUCCGACCUGCACGAAUGGUGUAAUGAUCUGGACACUGUCUCAACCGUGAGCUCAGUGAAAUUGUAGUAUCGGUGAAGAUGCCGAUUACCCGCGAUGGGACGAAAAGACCCCGUGAACCUUUACUAUAGCUUAACAUUGAAUUUGGGUAAUUGAUGUGUAGGAUAGGCCGGAGGCUUUGAAGCAGGUACGCCAGUAUUUGUGGAGCCGCUGUUGAAAUACGGCCCUUUGGUUAUUUGAGUUCUAACUCGUUGAUACGAGGACACUGUUUGGUGGGUAGUUUGACUGGGGUGGUCGCCUCCAAAAGUGUAACGGAGGCUUCUAAAGGUGCCCUCACGCCGAUUGGUAACCGGCGGCAGAGUGUAAUGGCAUAAGGGCGCUUGACUGGGAGACUUACAAGUCGAUCAGGUAGGAAACUAGAGCAUAGUGAUCCGGUGUUUCUGUAUGGAAAGGACAUCGCUCAAAGGAUAAAAGGUACUCCGGGGAUAACAGGCUGAUCCCUCCCAAGAGCUCAUAUCGACGGAGGGGUUUGGCACCUCGAUGUCGGCUCGUCACAUCCUGGGGCUGGAGAAGGUCCCAAG